UAGGGAAUAUUGGUUAAUGUGCGAAAGCGCGAACCAGCAACGCCGCGUGUGCGAUGAAGGCCUUCGGGUCGUAAAGCACUUUUUGCAGGGAAGAGGAAGGACGGUACCUGCAGAAUAAGUCUCGGCUAACUACGUGCCAGCAGCCGCGGUAAAACGUAGGAGACGAGCGUUAUCCGGAUUUACUGGGCGUAAAGCGCGUGCAGGCGGCAUGGCAAGUUGGAUGUGAAAGCUCCCGGCUUAACUGGGAGAGGUCGUUCAAUACUGCCAGGCAUGAGAGUGGUAGAGGGAAGAGGAAUGCCGCGGGUAGUGGUGAAAGGCGUAGAUAUCCGGAGGAACACAAGUGGCGAAAGCGGCUUCCUGGCUCAUUACUGACGCUCAGACGCGGAAGCUAGGGUAGCAAACGG
rnacentral:rRNA from 1 species